UACGGAGGGAGCUAGCGUUGUUCGGAAUUACUGGGCGUAAAGCGCACGUAGGCGGCUUUGUAAGUUAGAGGUGAAAGCCCGGGGCUCAACCCCGGAAUUGCCUUUAAGACUGCAUCGCUUGAAUCCAGGAGAGGUGAGUGGAAUUCCGAGUGUAGAGGUGAAAUUCGUAGAUAUUCGGAAGAACACCAAUGGCGAAGGCGGCUCACUGGACUGGUAUUGACGCUGAGGUGCGAAAGCGUGGGGAGCAAACAGG
rnacentral:rRNA from 1 species